CACACACACACAAGAUGGAGACUGCUGGUGAGGAAAAGCAUUCACUUGUCCUUCCCUCUAUGAGCUUCUACAAGGCUGGAUAUCGGGUGGAUACUCCUCCAAAAGACCAGCAGCAAUGGAUCACAAGGCAAAGAGCAUCGCAACGAGUACAAUGAUGGAGAGCACGAGAGGGGCGGAGUCAGUGACCAGUUGCUAUGACAACAUAUGAUGGAGGACUUACAAGGUGACACUGUGGAGUUUGCGUACAACCCAUUGGACGUCUUGCACUGCAGAUAAAGGAACACAAUUAAGAAAUAAUUCGUGAGGGUCAGUUGUUCACUCUGUUGGAUGCUGAUGAUGAUCAACC